CCUACGGGGUGCAGCAGUGAGGAAUAUUGGUCAAUGGGCGCGAGUCUGAACCAGCCAAGUAGCGUGAAGGAUGACGGCCCUAUGGGUUGUAAACUUCUUUUAUAAAGGAAUAAAGUGAGUCACGUGUGCCUUUUUGCAUGUACUGUAUGAAUAAGGAUCGGCUAACUCCGUGCCAGCAGCCGCGGUAAUACGGAGGGUCCGAGCGUUAUCCGGAUUUAUUGGGUUUAAAGGGAGCGUAGGUGGGUCGUUAAGUCAGUUGUGAAAGUCUGCGGCUCAACCGUAGCAUUGCAAUUGAUACUGGCAGUCUUGAGUGCAGAUGAGGUAGGCGGAAUUCGUGGUGUAGCGGUGAAAUGCUUAGAUAUCACGAAGAACUCCGAUUGCGAAGGCAGCUUACUAAACUGCUACUGACGCUGAGGCUCGAAAGUGUGGGUAUCAAACAGGAUUAGAUACCCGAGUAGUC
rnacentral:rRNA from 1 species